CUACGGGGCGCACCAGUGAGGAAUAUUGGACAAUGGGCGAAAGCCUGAUCCAGCCAUGCCGCGUGAGUGAAGAAGGCCUUAGGGUUGUAAAGCUCUUUCAAACGUGAAGAUAAUGACGGUAGCGUUACAAGAAGCUCCGGCUAAAUUCGUGCCAGCAGCCGCGGUAAUACGAAUGGAGCAAGCGUUGUUCGGAAUCACUGGGCUUAAAGCGUAUGUAGGCGGAUUUGCAAGUCAGGAGUGAAAUCCCAGGGCUCAACCCUGGAACUGCUCUUGAAACUGCAAGUCUAGAAUACUGGAGAGGUUGGGAGAAUUCCUAGUGUAGAGGUGAAAUUCGCAGAUAUUAGGAGGAAUACCAGUGGCGUAGGCGCCCAACUGGACAGUUAUUGACGCUCAGAUACGAAAGCGUGGGGAGCAAACAGGAUUAGAUACCCUGGUAGUC
rnacentral:rRNA from 1 species